UGUUUAAGGCGCUACUGUUUGUGCUCAUGGAGAUUAGGGCAUCCAUUCCUUCCAUCUUUACCGGAGCCUCAUUUUCGCCAAUGCACCAUUUGUUGGGAUCAGCUCCUCACUUACAGAUGUCGUUGGCCGAUUUCUCUGAUGCUCCGAAGGACAGGGAUCUUUUCAUCAAAGUGAAAAAUAUGAAAUACGCUCAAAAAGGCGAGUCAUGUAUUUAUUAAAAACAGGCCGAUCAAACCAGCUUUAUCUCCUACGUACCUUGGUCCAUUCAAGGUAUUGUCUAAAUCCGACAGGACUUUCAAAAUAGACCUGGGUCACCGGUGCGACAUUGUAUGGGUCGACCGUUUGAAGCCUACUUUUGGUGUUCAGGACAUUCUCCCAUCUUUCAAAAACUUAUUUUAGAUCCUCCACCAAGGAUUUUAUCAUUCAUUUUAAAAACAACAACUUCAUUUUGCGUAUUUAUUUAAAUUAAUUAAAAACUUAUUAUAUAGUGUGAUUUCUAUAAUAUGUAUCUAUUGAAAUUUUAAGGCAUA
rnacentral:lncRNA from 1 species